rnacentral:lncRNA from 1 species
UCAUAAUCCAAACUCACAACCACACCCUUCCUCCUCUUCCAUAAUUAACAAUGGCAGCCUCUUCCUCCACCUUGUUCUCUGCCCCAGCCAUCUCUUCCACCAUCUCAAGGAGCCAUACUCACCAACUCUCACCAACCCAAAUCUCCUUCCAAGGCCUUAGACCCCUCACCAAGGCUGCCCCAAGCACCAAGCUGAGCUUCAGUGCACCAAACACCAAGAGAUCAACUGGUGUUGUGAGAGCAGAGCUGAACCCAUCUUUGGUCAUAAGCCUGAGCACAGGGCUGUCACUUUUCUUGGGGAGGUUUGUGUUCUUCAACUUCCAGAGAGAGAAUGUGGCCAAGCAAGGCUUGCCUGAGCAGAAUGGAGUAACCCAUUUUGAGGCAGGAGACACCAGAGCCAAGGAGUAUGUGAGCCUCCUCAAAUCUAAUGACCCUGUUGGCUUCAACAUUGUAGAUGUUCUGGCCUGGGGCUCCAUUGGUCACAUAGUGGCUUACUACAUCUUGGCCACUUCUAGCAAUGGCUAUGAUCCCAAGUUCUUUGAAUGAUUUCAUUCAUUUAAAUCCACCAUGUUGUGUUUCUCUCUUGUGUUGUAAUUUGUAUAGCUUAUUAAUGAAUCACUAGUUGGGGAGCUUCUUUUGUUGAUUUUCAUUUUUAACUUUUGAGUUUACAUGUAUGUGUUUUAUUGUUGGAAUUUGGAAAGCUCUGUUGUGUUCUUUUUUGACUGAGAUUGGAGAGCCUUCUGAUUCUGUUAAUUUGCUCCUUGCUCUAUUCAUGUUCUGAAAAAUCCUUCAAAGUGUAUCUUAGAGCAUCAAGCUUGCAUUAACCUUAAGGCAUCAACACAACAACUACUUGACACAUUCUCUACAUCAUAGUUUUAAAAUACUCUCUCUCCAAAAUAACCCUAUUUUAAUUUUAUUUUUUUGGAUAAUUUGGGCAAAGAUAAUCAAGAAAUUAAGCCAACACAAGCAUAAUUUCUUAACUCAAGUUAGACAAAUAAGGGAAUCUCCAAACCCAGCAAUCUGAGACUUUGCAUAUCUAUGAAUAUAUAAUUUUAUAAUUUGUUAUGUAUAAUCAUAUGAUUUUUGGAACUUGUUAAGAGUUGAAUUUACUAUGCAAUACUUUGUAUUUGAACCCUUCACCACAAUUAAAAUACUAUAUUCAAUGGCAGUUCUUCAUAGCCCUCAAUCUAUUUCGUAUAAAUAAUUUCACAUAGAAUAAUAAAAAUCUAGUUUAAAAUGGUAGAAAAAAAAAAUAAAGGAUAAAACAAUUUUAGAGAUGCUCAAAUCAAAUGUAAUAUACGUCUAUUAUUCUUGUUGUUUUAGUUGGAGCCUGUUGUUAAUGUUUUUGAUAAUAUGUGAACGUAUUAUCAUCUGAAUUGUGCAAAAUCUCCUCCUAUUGAAACAAUGUUGAUGUUUUAAAAAAAAAAUUCUUCUGACCAAGAAAAAAGUCACCAUCUUGAUUUCCCUUACCGUUGGAACUAAUUUUCCCAUAUUAUCUACUUUAAUUUACAAUCCACCAAAAAGGAGGAAAAAGAAAAGAUCUAAAAGGCACAGAUAAUCAUAUUAAUUUUGGGCAGGAAAUACCUUUCUUGACAUUGCCUUCCCAAAUUUGUGUGUUACCAAACCCAUCAGGCCAUCCCCAUUCCCUUCACCAACAAAAAUAAAAACAUUGGUUUAAUUCAUAUCCUAAUAAAGUUUCAAUCUUUUUUUAAUAAAGAAAAUAAAAGGCUCAAUCUUUCUUAUUUUAUUUUUUGAGAAUCAAUAUUUAAUUGUUUGUAAAGUUUUCUAGGUUAGCAACUUAGAAUAGCGAGCAUUAUCCUAUAUCUUAUGUUGAUAAUGGACUAAUUAUAUAAGGGGUCUGUUAUCUUCUGGUAGGUUAGAAAUAGCAAAAAUAAAUCUACCUAGUAUCUUAAUCCAUCUUUACCCUCCUUCUGACUAAAAAUGUCUGAGGCCCCAACAACACCAAUUACAGAAAAGGAGCCUUCUUCAGCCAUUUCAGCUCAGCAGCAACAAGUGCGCACUGAAACCGCUAAUGGGUCUUCCUCAUCAUCCCUCACCUCCACUACCAAGGUUUAUCCUCCGGCCACGGCUAAGUAUGAGGAAGUCGUUCAAAGCUCUGACCUUUUCUGGGAAAAGCUCAAGGAGUUUCACGAUUCUUUCAGAACCAAAUUCGUGUAAUUUGGCUUUGUUCCCUUUUCUAACAGCUUAGAUUUUGCUUUGUUGGGUCAUUUGAUGAAUUGGGUUGUUUUUGUCUUGCUAUUUUAUGUCUUAAUAUGCUAGAGGAAUUGAUAGAUUCUAUGCUUAUACUUUAUAUAUUGCCAUUGUUUUUGCAUGUUGCAUACUUCAAUUGACUGGUUUUAAUCAAACUAUGUUACCUAAUCCUCGGGUUGAAUUGAUUGAAUGGCGAAUGACUGCAUAAUUCUGAAAAUUUUGAACUACAUUGUACAAUCGUUUUGUGUGUUUUUAGCAAAAUUAGGAUCUUUAUCAAGGAUUUAUGAUGUUGGAUUCCAUUACUGGAUGUCUCUAGUUUUUAUUUGAAUACCAUUAUGAAACUUUUAUGUGUGCCUCUUUCUACCUGGGUUUCAGUUGGGGAUGGUGGCUACUUGAGCAAUACAGACAUUUAUUCCAAUGCAGUUCAUCAUUUCCACAACCCAUCUGCAAUACUGGCUUAUAUUAUUAUUCUUUUUUCUUUUUCAUUAGGAAGAUUUUGUUUCUUUUCCAAGAUCUGAAUUUGGCAUUCACCAGAGAUGCUUCAUUCAAGAAAUGUGAAUUUCCCCAAGUCUUCAUUAAUUGUUGGCUCCCUUCCAUAAUUUCAAUAAGUGGGGAUAUAAUUUUUCUCAGAUGUCUACAUUUGAGCUUUAAAAAUUCCAUCUAUGCAGCAUUACCAUACCGAAACACUCUGAUACUGAUUGCGAAACGGGACUGUGUUUGCUAGAUCCGGGAUUUGUGGAGAAAUUAGGACUGUUUCCUUUUUGGUGAUUUAAUAAUUACUACAUAUUUUUAGUAUGCCAUUGUUUCGGUGUCUGUACUUUUGAGCUGUUAUGUCCUUAUGUCUCUUCAUUCUUAUUUUGUGCUCAUGGAAAUUUAAAUUCCGUGUAGGGGGUUAAUAAGUCUUCAAUUGCUUGGUUUAUUGGCUUAUGCUUGCCAAUUUACAUUUGCCUAGAUAUUAUUGCACAAGUUUCUAAGAGUGCUCCGGUAGACUUUGGUGGUUUUGCUACCUGCCGAAAGCAUAAAUAUUUGGGCUGUUUGAUAACUAGGAAAAUUUAUCUGUGGUGGUUGAUAAAAUGCCUGAAAUUGGGUGUUUUGUGAGAUGUCCGAAAGGGUUUCUUCAUUCAUGUCAUGUUUUGUAAUUCAAAUUCCUAACAGGUUAAGAAUCAAAAUAUGAAAUCUUUGCAUGAGAAGGGGGCUACAUAUUGAAGCAUUUAGCUUCACGUUCAUCCGCAGUCUCCCAUAGCGCCCCCCCCUCUUCCUCCUUUUUCUCCCAGAAAAAAGAAAAAGAAAUAUAAAUUCAGCUAUCAAGAGAAAGUGGGUUGAGUUUCGAAGGAUAAUGUGGACUUUUGUCAUGCCAUGAUUCUUUUGAUUAUUUUUGGGCAUCAGAAACCUUUCCUAACCUGCUGUCCUAACUGUAUAACUUGUUUCCUUUCAGUAUUUUUAUGCAUUGAUGAGAACUUAGUAUGGAGGACCUGACUUCAACAGGAUCUGUCCUCUAGGAUCAUAUCUCUAGGAUCAUAUUUCUGAAUCCUUGAGUUCAUGAAAAUUGAGUGUGGAGUGCAGAAAAACAGAAAGUCCAUAGGAUAUAAUUGAUGCUCUUUGUGUAGGAUACCUACCGUAGGAGGAAAAGCUCUGGAUCUACAUCUCCUUUUUGUGGAAGUCACAUCUCGUGGUGGACUUGAAAAGGUUUGUGCAUUUUAUUUUUCUACUUCAUGGUUGUUUUUAUAUGAGAGUCUUGAAGCUGAAAUUAAACUUAUUGCUUGAAAAGUGGAUCUUAACCUCAGUUAUCCUCUAUUUAACUAGUUAGUAUUGUCGAGUGUGCCUGAUAUGAUUUACACUCUGUGUUUUGAACACUAGUUAUGAUGAAUGGGGGGAUGGGUCACAGCUGAGUUUGAACUUUGGCUGACUUAUAACUAUUAGCCUAUUGCUAGUCUCAGUUAAGACAAAAGUAAGUUAGAGGUUUAUGAAAGUGUCCAACUUUAGGUAAGUUUUACCUAUAUUGAUUACGUAAGUUUAGAGGCUUAUGAAAGUGUUCAAAGUUCUCUUUUUCUUUUUAGGUUUUGUUUCCCCUUCAAAUUCUCUUAAACUGGUUACAGGUGAUUAGAGAUCGCAAAUGGAAGGAAGUGAUUGUGGUCUUCAAUUUCCCAACAACAAUUACCAGCGCUUCAUUUGUCUUGCGGAAGUACUAUUCAUCUUUGCUCUAUCACUUUGAGCAGGCCUAUUAUUUCCACAAAGAAGUUUUUAGCAUCCCAGUGCUUGGUACUUGAAGACAUGGCUCCUUGUUAAUUCUUUGUAUUGUUUCUUUUUGUAGAUUAGAAAGAUAUAUAAUUUUCUUUUUUUUUUUCCUUCCCAGAACCUCUUAGCAGGAACCUUUUGAAUGGGUCAGCCACCCUGGAGGAAGGUGCCAGUAGAAACCAGUUUCCAGGUCAGGGUAGGUGUAACCUCCAUUUCAAUGUGAUGGUUUUAGUAGUGGUUGUGUUCAAUUUUUUACACUAAUUCUAGAAGUAGAGUCAUAUAUAUGUAUAUUGAAAUGGAGAUGGUUUUAGUAGUGGUUGUGUUCAAUUUUUUACACUAAUUCUAGAAGUAGAGUCAUAUAUAUGUAUAUUUUCAGUUUGGUGUCUACGUUAAACGGUGAAAGUUUCCAAAUUGCCUUUCAUUUGCAAUCAUAGAAGAAACCUGCAAUUGACAGGUCUUGGAAUCAAUCGUAUAGAAUAGCUGUUUCUGUAACUUUUUGAAGUCGGAUAGUUGAAUAAAAAAAAUUUCUCGCUAAUGAUCGAGCUUUUGUGAUGUCCCUUUUGAAAUAUCUUCUGAAAGUUGCAAUGAAGGAAGAUAAACAACAUUGUAAAUUUUAUUAGACAAUCUGGAUAAACCACAUUGGAAACUUUAUUAGCCAAUCUGUCUUAUAAAUUGAUGACUUUCUAUAAGGGGUUUGCUUUCAUCUUUCUAAUUCUGUAUUAUUAUUUCCUAAUUCCUUUGCCAAUUUUUUCAGCUGGUGGGUUAUGACCAAAUUGUAAUACGGAUCUGUUUUUUCUAUCUUAUGUACAGAAAGCUCAGAAGUGCAGCUUGGCUGUUCAAUCAUGGGAAGCAUCGAUGGGAAAUUUGACCAUGGAUAUUUGGUUUCUGUGAACUUGGGUUCUGACGAGCUGAAAGGUGUCUUGUAUCAUGCUCCUACAUAUGUUUCUCAGAGUUUUUCGGACAUGCCCACUCGACGGAAUCGAAAGAGGUCCAGGUUGGCAUUACGUGAUCCCUCUCGGCCCAAGUCAAACAGGAGCGGGUACAAUUUCUUCUUCGCUGAGCAUUAUGCCAGAUUAAAGCCUUUGUACUAUGGACAAGAGAGAGCCAUCAGCAAGAAAAUUGGGUUUCUAUGGAACAAUCUCACAGAGGCUGAGAAACAGGUAUGAUGAAUUGGUGACAGUUUUUUUCGUGUUAGUUUCUUUUAGCUGAUAGCAUCCCAAAAGUAAUGUCACAUCUGCUGCAUCCUUUAACUCACUCUCUCAUACUUGAGUUCCGGAUGAUUUUGUGACAUGCAUAAAUAUUGAUCUAAGGUUUCAAGAGAAAUUUCACAUGUUUGGACUAUAUUCAUUUCCUUUUGCCUUGAUUCUCAACCUUUCUAACUUCCUCACUGAGCCAAUUUGACAUAUGAUAAACUUGGAGUCUAUCGGCUCAAUCUCCGGAAAGUCUUCAUCAUAACACUCCUUUGCUACCAUGCAGGUAUAUCAGGAAAAAGGGAUGCAGGACAAGGAGAGAUACAGGACCGAAAUGCUGGAAUAUAAAUCUUCCGGCAAUUUAACACAACAGUAGCCUCCAUCUUGUCGGUUAGAUAGGCUCCUGUUUCAUAGGCAUCAUUUUCCUCCCUUGCGUGCUCUUGUUGUUGUCGAAGUAGUAGUAGUUGUUGUAGUAGUAGCUACUCCCUCCGUUUAACCGCCUUUUUCCCGUUUCCAUUUUUCUUUACUAAGGUUACCCCUCAGUGUGCUCGUCCGGAAUAAUUGCGGAAGGGGUGAAAGGGGCAGCUCUGUAACAUAACUGUUGAAUUUACCUUCAUUUUGGAUUAGCAGAACUUUAUUACAGUAAUAAUCUUCAUAUUUCUUGACAUUCCGUUGCAAAAUAGUAAUUCAAGCAGUCAACUUCUCUCUCUUGUGUGUGUGUGGUCAAAGUGAAAGUCAACCAUGAAUUUUAGGCCAAAAGGAGAGAGUUAAAUAUAUGAAUUGGAAAUACAAUUCAGUGCACUGUUUACAACACCUGCAAAGCCUUUACUACAAUUGUUUUGGAUUUUAUUACUACAAUUUUAUUAUCCUAAUUUUUUUUUUUUUUCAAUUUUUUUUUUAUUAUUUUGGAUUUCUAUCUAACUUUAAUCUCAUUGUCACAUAACUUGUUUUAUGUAAUCCACUAAUAAGAAAACUGUUGGCUUAGGAAAUAAAUUCGGACAUAUAUUUUUGGCCUUACAUGACGUGGUAAAUAUAAUAUUUUAUUUACCUUAUUUCCCCUCAAAAGAACCAGGCUGCCAUGCCAUGCUAAUAUGCUAUGCUGUUUCAAUAUUAAUUAAAGGCCAUCUUAAACUUGGUUGGCAAGGCAUGGGGACUUUGCAGAAUAUAUGUUGUUAAAUAUAAACAACAGUGACUUGGAAUUUCAUUUUGAGUGUGAAAUAUAAUUUCACAAAUUAAAAGCUCCAUCGAUCUUUAUGGCUGUGAUGGGAUCUUAUUAUUUAUUUAUAUAUAUUUUUUCUUCUUGUGAAAUUACAUAGGACAACCACCUAAUUUACCUGAACAAGU